GAACGCCGUGUGAGGUGAAAGUCUCAUGCACGGUGUGAAGUGGGGGAAAAGCUGGAGAUGGCCUCAAAGGUUUACCUAUCACUAU
rnacentral:ncRNA from 2 species